rnacentral:tRNA from 1 species
UGGCUCAGUGGUAGAGAAUCUGCCUGCAAUGCAGGGGGCCCAGGUUUGAUCCCUGG